UGGUCCUAACCUUGAAAUCAGUACUUACUUAAUUUACACAUGCAAGUCUCCGCACCCCUGUGAAAACGCCCUUUAAUCCCCCCCAUAGGGAUGAGGAGCUGGUAUCAGGCUCAUUUUAGCCCAAAACACCUAGCUAUGCCACACCCACAAGGGUACCCAGCAGUGAUUAACAUUGAUAAUAAGCGCAAGCUUGAAUCAGUUAAAGUAAAAAGAGCCGGCAAAUCUGGUGCCAGCCGCCGCGGUUACACCACGUGACUCGAGCUGAUCUCUAACGGCGUAAAGCGUGAUUAAAGCUAAUCAAUACUAUAGUUGAACCAGAAUUAAGCUGUGAUAAACUUGUUCUACUGAAGCCCAAAAACGAAAGUUACUACAACUCAAACAACUUGAACUCACGACAGCUGGGAAACAAACUGGGAUUAGAUACCCCACUAUGCCUAGCCGUAAACCAUAACUUACACUCAAAUCGCCAGGGAAUUACGAGCUAAAAGCUUAAAACCCAAAGGACUUGACGGUACCCCACAUCCCCCUAGAGGAGCCUGUUCUGUAAUCGAUAAUCCACGUUUAACCUCACCACUUUUAGCUUAUCAGCCUGUAUACCUCCGUCGUCAGCUUACCCCGUGAGCGACCAAUAGUGAGCUUAAUGUCCACCCGUCAAAACGUCAGGUCAAGGUGCAGCUUAUAAAGUGGGAAGAGAUGGGCUACACUCUCUAAUUUAGAAAAUACGAAAGACUAUUUAUGAAAUUUAGUCGGAAGGCGGAUUUAGAAGUAAAAAGAGACAAGAACACUCUUUUUAACCCGGCACUGGGGUGUGUACACACCGCCCGUCACCCUCCUCGAAAGCCGAUAAAGCAGUAUCUAACUCAUUUAAGCUAAAUAGAAGAGGCAAGUCGUAACAUGGUAAGCGCACCGGAAGGUGCGCUUGGAAA
rnacentral:ncRNA from 1 species